UAUAAGUACUCUUGAAGACACACAAGGUUGGUUGUCGCAAGCCAAGCGGCCUAAAGAAGAGUGACAGAGAGACACAAUGUAAAGAGAGAGAUGUAAUCGGGUAGAGAGAAAACUUGUAAGAGUGUAAGCUUGGGGAGAGUUAUCUUAAGUGUUACAGAGUGUUAUGAGUGAGUCUUUGGUAGCAGUAAAGAUCCAAAGAUGUCACUUGAGUGAUCUUUGUAAACUUGUCUCUGAUUAUAGUAUAUAUUGGGGAUCUGUUGAUCCCGACCGGAUGUAGUGGCUCGUUAACGCCAUGAACCGGGUUAACAACUUGGUGUGUGCUCCUGAUACGAUUAGAGCAGUAAACUAGGGAUCAAACAAUGUAAUAGGCAUAUACUUGUAUUAAUAUUGAAAGGAAUACAAAAUUGAGAGUUUUACAAUGGAGUCUCUCCCCUCCCCCGUACACUUUCACCAGAUUCUGGAUACCCUCUCUCUAUGCCCUCUCAUACUUCUUAUACUACUUUUGUGAUCUCCUCCUCACGCAAGUGCACCGUUAUGGCGAGAUGCAAUGAGAUGAUGCCACCUACUUAAUCAUGGUUAUUCCUUACUGUAGUUAAGUAACUCCAAUUAAACCAUGACUCUUAUCUGGAAUUUUCUUUACUCUUCUUAACCCACUUGACUUCACUUCACAGGCUUCUGGGCCUUGCUCCUCCUUUGGUAUUGAUAUAGAAUAGGUGGGUGUUGGGCCGCAUAUGUAUCAGCUCCUCUCUUCUUUCUUCUCUUUCUCUGUUCUGUUUCGACUUCAUCUUUUCUAUGAUAUGCUUUGCUCUGUUUUGCUGUGACCUGCGUUGAUGUUUAUGACAUUGGUUUUAAGCUUGAGGUGUUAUAGAGGUUGUCAAAAACCCUACAGUGGUAUCAGAGCACAGGUUCGUGCGUAAAGUCUCAAGCUUUGCUCUGAAUCUUCAGGUUUCCGUGAGAAAGAUUCAAGUUUUUCCAAGGAGAAAUGCAAGCUUUGUCAAAAAGGUCACGUCUUUAUGAAGUAGAAGCUUCUAGAAGAGCGAUUUUAGAGGAGAAUGAUGAAUCUGGUUAUUAUGUCUCAAGGAAGAUGGAAUGCUAUGCUCGUUUAGAGACAUAGAUUCGCUGAAGUUGAAAAGAGAAGAAGAUGUAAGAUUUCUGUUGAAAUCUGGGUUUGGCAGAGAAAGCUUGUCGUGAGCUCUAGUGGUGUUCAGAGAUAGGCGACAAGAAAGACGUCGAGAUUCUCGCCGGAGAGUGGCUCGUGUUUUCGACAACGUCGUGAGAGAGCAAUGACGCCGUCAUGAGCAGAACGAGUCCGAGAAGAAACCUUAGGUUUUGUUGUCGAGGAACAGACAUGCGGUGAGAGAGAAUCGCGGAGGUGUGGUGACCAUAAAGUCACCGGAUAACAUUGAGACGUUGGCCGGAGAAGGUUUGACGAUGAUCGGCAGUGAGAAGAAGGGAUGUUAGGAAGGGGUGUGGUGACCAUAAAGUCACUGGUUUUUUUCUUAUGACUAAUUCUUUCACUACAUUUGUUUGUCUCAGCUAUCAUAUAUAGUUGUUGAUCUGAUGGUAUGGUGGAGCAUAAGGACAUAUAUAAAAUGGAUGUAAUGAAAUUAUUGUUAUGGGUUUGUUCAUCUUUAUAAGUUUGUGGUCCAAUGAGAAUGAGUUUGAGUUUUGGACACACUAGUGUAC
rnacentral:sRNA from 1 species